GGAGGAUUCCUGGGCUGGUGCAUAACUCCGAGAAAAACACUGCUUCUCGUCAUGGGUCCCCACAGUCCCAGUGAAGAACCUAAAUGGGUCCAGUCCUGUCAACCCUGCCUUGGCAGGAAUCACUGGGAUCCUCAUGAGUGCAGCGGGGCUGCCUGUGUGUCUCACCAGGCCACCAAAGCUGGUCCUACACCCACCCCCCGUCAGCAAGAGUGAAAUAAAAUCCAUCCCAGGGGUUUCCAACACAAGCCGCAAGACCACCAAAAAACAAGCCAAGAAAGGUAAAACCCCGGAGGAAGUGCUAAAAAAAUAUCUACAGAAAGUCCGGCACCCACCAGAUGAGGACUGCACCAUCUGUAUGGAACGCCUCACGGCCCCCUCAGGCUACAAGGGCCCGCAGCCUACGGUAAAACCUGACCUGGUAGGGAAGCUGUCCAGAUGCGGCCACAUCUACCACAUCUACUGCUUGGUUGCCAUGUACAACAAUGGGAACAAGG
rnacentral:sRNA from 1 species